GUGGUUUUAUUGCUUUAGUUUACUUAAUGAUUACCUGCGUAGAUCGAAACCCACCUUUUUUUUCAUGCACAUUCGCGAAGGGCUGUUUCUCUUUGUUUUGUGGGUUAUUAUUAUUAUUAUUUGGACUAGGGCCUAAACAUUUUCUUUUGUACCCAUAUUGCAGUAGAUUUUAUGUUCUGUGAUCUCUUGGCGCUCUGGAAUCAUACAUUUGUUGGCUUUGUUCAUUUAUUUAUUAUCUUUGUCCAUGUGGAAUUAUUUUCCAUUGGUAUAAAAGCUUUCAAAAAGCAUUGGUUGUUUCUGAUAAGCAUGUCUAUGAAGCAUUGUUUCA
rnacentral:misc_RNA from 1 species